GACGAACGCUGGCGGCGUGCUUAACACAUGCAAGUCGAACGGUGAAGCUCCAGCUUGCUGGAGUGGAUCAGUGGCGAACGGGUGAGUAACACGUGAGCAACCUGCCCCUGACUCUGGAAUAAGCGCUGGAAACGGCGUCUAAUACUGGAUACGAGAAGGGUCCGCAUGGGCACUUUCUGGAAAGUUUUUCGGUUGGGGAUGGGCUCGCGGCCUAUCAGCUUGUUGGUGAGGUAAUGGCUCACCAAGGCGACGACGGGUAGCCGGCCUGAGAGGGCGACCGGCCACACUGGGACUGAGACACGGCCCAGACUCCUACGGGAGGCAGCAGUGGGGAAUAUUGCACAAUGGGCGGAAGCCUGAUGCAGCGACGCCGCGUGGGGGAUGACGGCCUUCGGGUUGUAAACCUCUUUCAGCAGGGAAGAAGCGAAAGAGACGGUACCUGCAGAAGAAGCACCGGCUAACUACGUG
rnacentral:rRNA from 1 species